AGAGUUUGAUCCUGGCUCAGGAUGAACGCUAGCGACAGGCUUAACACAUGCAAGUCGAGGGGCAGCAUAAAAGUAGCAAUACUUUGGUGGCGACCGGCGCACGGGUGAGUAACGCGUAUGCAACCUACCUAUCAGAGGGGAAUAACCCGGCGAUAGUCGGACUAAUACCGCAUAAAACAGGGACACCGCAUGGUGAUAUUUGUUAAAGAAAUUCGCUGAUAGAUGGGCAUGCGUUCCAUUAGGUAGUUGGUGAGGUAACGGCUCACCAAGCCGACGAUGGAUAGGGGAACUGAGAGGUUGGUCCCCCACACUGGUACUGAGACACGGACCAGACUCCUACGGGAGGCAGCAGUGAGGAAUAUUGGUCAAUGGGCGAGAGCCUGAACCAGCCAAGUCGCGUGAAGGAAGAAGGAUCUAUGGUUCGUAAACUUCUUUUGCAGGGGAAUAAAGUGCAGGACGUGUCCUGUUUUGUAUGUACCCUGAGAAUAAGGAUCGGCUAACUCCGUGCCAGCAGCCGCGGUAAUACGGAGGAUCCGAGCGUUAUCCGGAUUUAUUGGGUUUAAAGGGUGCGUAGGUGGUUUGAUAAGUCAGCGGUGAAAGUUUGCAGCUUAACUGUAAAAAUGCCGUUGAAACUGUCGGACUUGAGUGUAAAUGAGGUAGGCGGAAUGCGUGGUGUAGCGGUGAAAUGCUUAGAUAUCACGCAGAACUCCGAUUGCGAAGGCAGCUUACUAAGCUACAACUGACACUGAAGCACGAAAGCGUGGGGAUCAAACAGGAUUAGAUACCCUGGUAGUCG
rnacentral:rRNA from 1 species